rnacentral:rRNA from 1 species
GAAUGCUGACAUAAGUAACGAUAAAGCGGGUGAAAAGCCCGCUCGCCGGAAGACCAAGGGUUCCUGUCCAACGUUAAUCGGGGCAGGGUGAGUCGACCCCUAAGGCGAGGCCGAAAGGCGUAGUCGAUGGGAAACAGGUUAAUAUUCCUGUACUUGGUGUUACUGCGAAGGGGGGACGGAGAAGGCUAUGUUGGCCGGGCGACGGUUGUCCCGGUUUAAGCGUGUAGGCUGGUUUUCCAGGCAAAUCCGGAAAAUCAAGGCUGAGGCGUGAUGACGAGGCACUACGGUGCUGAAGCGACAAAUGCCCUGCUUCCAGGAAAAGCCUCUAAGCAUCAGGUAACAUCAAAUCGUACCCCAAACCGACACAGGUGGUCAGGUAGAGAAUACCAAGGCGCUUGAGAGAACUCGGGUGAAGGAACUAGGCAAAAUGGUGCCGUAACUUCGGGAGAAGGCACGCUGAUAUGUAGGUGAAGCGACUUGCUCGUGGAGCUGAAAUCAGUCGAAGAUACCAGCUGGCUGCAACUGUUUAUUAAAAACACAGCACUGUGCAAACACGAAAGUGGACGUAUACGGUGUGACGCCUGCCCGGUGCCGGAAGGUUAAUUGAUGGGGUUAGCGGUAACGCGAAGCUCUUGAUCGAAGCCCCGGUAAACGGCGGCCGUAACUAUAACGGUCCUAAGGUAGCGAAAUUCCUUGUCGGGUAAGUUCCGACCUGCACGAAUGGCGUAAUGAUGGCCAGGCUGUCUCCACCCGAGACUCAGUGAAAUUGAACUCGCUGUGAAGAUGCAGUGUACCCGCGGCAAGACGGAAAGACCCCGUGAACCUUUACUAUAGCUUGACACUGAACAUUGAGCCUUGAUGUGUAGGAUAGGUGGGAGGCUUUGAAGUGUGGACGCCAGUCUGCAUGGAGCCGACCUUGAAAUACCACCCUUUAAUGUUUGAUGUUCUAACGUGGGCCCCUUACCGGGGUUGCGGACAGUGUCUGGUGGGUAGUUUGACUGGGGCGGUCUCCUCCUAAAGAGUAACGGAGGAGCACGAAGGUUGGCUAAUCCUGGUCGGACAUCAGGAGGUUAGUGCAAUGGCAUAAGCCAGCUUGACUGCGAGCGUGACGGCGCGAGCAGGUGCGAAAGCAGGUCAUAGUGAUCCGGUGGUUCUGAAUGGAAGGGCCAUCGCUCAACGGAUAAAAGGUACUCCGGGGAUAACAGGCUGAUACCGCCCAAGAGUUCAUAUCGACGGCGGUGUUUGGCACCUCGAUGUCGGCUCAUCACAUCCUGGGGCUGAAGUAGGUCCCAAGGGUAUGGCUGUUCGCCAUUUAAAGUGGUACGCGAGCUGGGUUUAGAACGUCGUGAGACAGUUCGGUCCCUAUCUGCCGUGGGCGCUGGAGAACUGAGGGGGGCUGCUCCUAGUACGAGAGGACCGGAGUGGACGCAUCACUGGUGUUCGGGUUGUCAUGCCAAUGGCACUGCCCGGUAGCUAAAUGCGGAAGAGAUAAGUGCUGAAAGCAUCUAAGCACGAAACUUGCCCCGAGAUGAGUUCUCCCUGACUCCUUGAGAGUCCUGAAGGAACGUUGAAGACGACGACGUUGAUAGGCCGGGUGUGUAAGCGCAGCGAUGCGUUGAGCUAACCGGUACUAAUGAACCGUGAGGCUUAACCUUACAACGC